AUUGAACGCUGGCGGCAGGCCUAACACAUGCAAGUCGAGCGGAUGAAGGGAGCUUGCUCCUGGAUUCAGCGGCGGACGGGUGAGUAAUGCCUAGGAAUCUGCCUGGUAGUGGGGGAUAACGUCCGGAAACGGGCGCUAAUACCGCAUACGUCCUGAGGGAGAAAGUGGGGGAUCUUCGGACCUCACGCUAUCAGAUGAGCCUAGGUCGGAUUAGCUAGUUGGUGGGGUAAAGGCCUACCAAGGCGACGAUCCGUAACUGGUCUGAGAGGAUGAUCAGUCACACUGGAACUGAGACACGGUCCAGACUCCUACGGGAGGCAGCAGUGGGGAAUAUUGGACAAUGGGCGAAAGCCUGAUCCAGCCAUGCCGCGUGUGUGAAGAAGGUCUUCGGAUUGUAAAGCACUUUAAGUUGGGAGGAAGGGCGGUAAGUUAAUACCUUGCUGUUUUGACGUUACCAACAGAAUAAGCACCGGCUAACUUCGU
rnacentral:rRNA from 1 species